GCAUCAGAUCCCUUCCAGGCCACCACGCCACACCACCAGAUCCCAUCGCCGCCGCCUCGCACUCGCAUCCCGUCGCCGCCGCCCGUGCAUUCUCGAUCGGAGAGGACGCUCCCUUCGCCGCCGCUGAGAUCCGAGAAGAGUCGCCCUUUGCCGGCGCCAAGAUCAUGUGCCUCUCUAAAGACCCCUCUCUCGCGCGACACCGCCUCCCUUACAAGGACGCCACGCCAUGGGUCUCCAUCGGUGCCACGACUGCCGCGGCCUCCCCACCUGCCGACGCUCUAGAUCCGGCCGUAGUUGAUUCCCUGUACAUCAUCUCAAGGAGGAGGGGCGUGAGGCGGUUGCCGCCGCCGGUGGCUGCACUUGAAGGUCUCCGUCGCUUGCUCCAACCAGAUCCAGCCAGACCGUCCUGUGGUGGUCCACGUGCAUCUGGACGGACGCAACGGCUUUGCCUCCCCUGUCCCAUGUCUUCGUCCACCACACCAUCCCAUUGCGGUAAUAAAUCUCUAGCCAUGCCCUUUUCCUUGAGAUGAACUACAAAAUUUCUGUUCUGUUAUAUCUUGGUGAAUGUCUCGUCAAUUGCCAUACAAAUACAUGUGUGCUUCUCCUGUCGUGCAUUUGAUGGGUAAGCUGCUGCUACCCGGGCUCACAUGACCCCGUGGAGGAAGGAGCUGUGCAAGGAAUCACUGCCAAAAGACUCGAGAUGAGUUUGGAGUGUCCUGGAUUCCAGGCCAUGUUCCGCAAGGACGAAGCAACGCGAGCUAGCCGAGGGUUCAGAUUGACGUUCGCUUUGAUUCUCGUUGAUUCAUUGUUUUGACCGACCCAAGCAGCGCCGGCGCUCACGGAGGAGAACCUGAUGUUUCUAGAGGCCUGACGCGCGGUCGAUCACACUUACUACGACAAGUCCUCCAACGGGUGGAGCUGGUUCAGGUACCACAAGCACCCUCCAUGAAAAGCAGGUUCCAGCUGUGCAAAGUCUGCCUGCUACUGCUAUCCAUACUGCGCUAUAGCAAAAUAGCUUUGGAUCAGGACUAACCUCUAGCCAGGAAAGAACCUGAAUCCCAAGUGUGCUUACGUAAGAUGUGAACCCACAAAUUCAGUGAGUUGGGAACUCAAAAUUCCAAUGAGGUGCGAGAUGCAGCAAAUUAUACUCAUCGUAUGCCUCGUUAUUAUUGUUGUUGUGUCGUUUUAUUCCCAGUCGACGGCCGCUGCGGUGCCCACGUCCGCGUCAUUAGUGCUGCUAAGGGGCGCUUCACCCUGUUCGGCAUUAUCUUCUAUUCUCCCUAUGGCUGCAAGAACCCUCACCUUGGCUAUGGCAGAUGCGACAGAUAAAGCAGGAGAUGGAUGAAAUGCUGCUGAGACGUUACAAGAUAUUCCAGCAGAGGCAUCCUUACCGUCCGCAUUACAAGGAUAUGAGAACAUUGGGGUCCUGAAGGCAGUGACCUAUUUACCAUACACAUAUUUACUUCCUUUCUAGGGUGGAACAAUGGAAGGCACAAUUCCAAAUUUCGAAGUACAGCUCUUCAAGAACAGGAUCUCUGAAGGAACAACGAUUUACAAGCUUGGCACUUACCAGGUUCAAUAUGCUAGGGAAAGAUACAAAACUGUAGAUCGUCCAUGGAGAGUAGUGUUUGCCCAAAAAACUACCGUCGAACCAAUUGUGCCUCAGCCACCAAACUUUCCCAAGUAUGGAUAUACCACCUACAAUAUACACAGUACCAAAGUUGCAUUAAACAAAUCGUUUUGUUGUCAGUUACCAGCAUCACAAGAAUAUUUGCGCCGAGCGGCGGAUCGAUUGACCAGAUAUGAGAAAAUCACAUCACAAAUAAUGCCCGCCGUUGUGAUGUUUUGGGGGAAAUUAGCAGAUGCCCUUGAUGCAGACAAGCUACAACGGUGGUCUGCUCAAGAACCCAUUAUAGUUCUAUUUGUUGGCAUGCCAGUACAUGAAUUUAAUGAAACUUGACCUUCAAGUCCUGUCUGGCAACUCGAUGGUACAUAAAUCCAACUAUUUCUGAAGCGGCAACUAUUCUAGGAAGAUCUACUGCAAGAUCCCAUCAAAUUGAGAUAAGCACCGGCUCACAGGGUCAUCGCUAGGCAACAAAUACAACAAACACAUAAUUAUCAGCCGUUGACCCUGGUGGAAUCAUGGACCAGUACUAUAAACUGGAAAUAAAGAGAACUGAAGUGUCCCCUUCCAUGGCGUUGGGGGGCCUUUCUCUGCCAGGCGCGGUGGCUCCUUGGUAGGAUGAUGCAGCUGGCUCGGCGGAGGCUAGGAGGCUCGUCGGCCGACAUUUCGUUGAUGCAUGGGUGCCAUAUUGCGAUGGAACGGCAGUAUAAUAUACAAAACUUUGACGAGGCUCACCUGCUUCAAAAUUUCACAAUAAGUCCAAUCAAGACAACUUGCAACUUUGGUGUUGUCACAUUGGAGUCCGUGCUGAGCAGCAAUGGGAGACUGUCGUUGAUGCCCGACCCAUGAUGCUGACGAAGGAACGAGAGUUUAGACGCCAUGGGUUUGUGAACUGGCCAAGCCACCGUUGUCCGUUUGGUAAUGUGACUUGCCCUGAUUUUGACGUCGUCUACCAACAUCCGACGAAGGGAACCCGUCCCGGUUUCCAUCUUGAUGUUGUUGAGCUCUGCACUACAAAACUGAGAAAGACCCAUAACUUUUUACAGGAUCGUUUCUACAUACUACAAAUAGAGGGAAGUUGGCUUGUGCCUUACUAGAGACAGAUGAACCAAUAAAAUGAUUGGAAAGGCUCUUUCCAAGCAUAAGAGGAGCUUUUGAAGGGACUGAAGAACCGGAACCUCCCCUCCUCCCUCCCGCGACGCUCCCGCAGGCAUCCAGGGGGCAACCCUGGCACCGCCGCCGGUCCCCCCCUCCUCUCCCUACCCCCUCGCGGCCGCCCGGGGGCGCGAGCAGGCGAAGCCCGCUCGUCGCUGGCGGCGGCGGGGCCUUCUCGUCUCCGCGCGUGGGGGUUUCUGUGAGGGUCGGACGCCUCUGGCCGGAUGCGGCGCUUGGCGCUGGCCGUGGCAGCUCGGCAGCGCGCCGACGUGGGCUGUCGGCGGCGUAUGCCAGCGAUGCGAUGGGCAGUGCGGUGGUGGUGCAGGCUGGAGGCUGGUGGUGGCGGCGGCGCACCCAGAUCCGCCUCUGGCGCCGCGAGUUGCGGGCGACC